rnacentral:miRNA from 1 species
CCAAGGUCGAGGUGAUUGAA